AUUGAACGCUGGCGGCAUGCUUUACACAUGCAAGUCGAACGGCAGCGCGGGGGCAACCCUGGCGGCGAGUGGCGAACGGGUGAGUAAUGCAUCGGAACGUAUCCUGUAAUGGGGGAUAACGUAGCGAAAGUUACGCUAAUACCGCAUACGCUCGGGAGAGGAAAGUGGGGGAUCGCAAGACCUCACGUUACAGGAGCGGCCGAUGUCCGAUUAGCUAGUUGGUGGGGUAAAGCCUACCAAGGCGACGAUCAGUAGCUGGUCUGAGAGGAUGAUCAGCCACAUUGGGACUGAGAUACGGCCCAGACUCCUACGGGAGGCAGCAGUGAGGAAUUUUGCGCAAUGGGCGAAAGCCUGACGCAGCAACGCCGCGUGACUGAUUAAGCUCUGAGGAGUGUAAAAGUCUGUCGUAGAGGAAGAAACUAUCCGAUAAGAAUAAUUGUCGGAUACUGACGUACUCUAUGAGAAAGCUCCGGCUAACUCCGUACG
rnacentral:rRNA from 1 species